CAUCACCAUGACAACCGUCGUUAGCGACUCUUUCCUGUUAGCAAGUGUUAAAUAAACGCAGAUUGAGUGUCCGGUAUCUAAUGUAACUGUGAUAAUUUGGGGAUAAAGACCGGGUUGGUGAUCGGAUUACAGGUUGUAACUGAACAUUUAGGAAUCAACAAUGAAAUUGUUAUCAUAAGGGACAUAACUCCGCAGUGUCGUGAGCUUGCUCGAUCUAACAUCAGACGUAAGCUGGUGGUAAAGAUUUUCAAAUUAUUGUUAUCUCCAGCAACAACACUAACGAUGGCUGACACAAUUGUUUUUAAGCGAUCCCAGACUAUGUACCCUUACUGGGUGAAUUAUCCUCCUACCGUCCCUCAGUAUCCUGCUUCACAGACGAUGUUCAGGCGUGAAGUUCCAGAGAAAUUCACAAAACCCAAAGGUCGAGCAUCAUAUCAAAACUGGACAGACAAGUGGUAUGACUGGGACCCUCCCAUCAGGAGGGAGGAAGAGCUGCCCAAGGUUGCAGACAGACGAGAACCUUGCUCCAGACCUUGGAUGUACAGACCGGGCACUUCGGCCAUUCCUACCUGGACCAAAGAGGGCAAGGACUGGCCGUCAAACUAUGACCUCUUCCUGCGCACUGGCUCCACCAAUGCUGAGACCAAACGAGCACGUGCACUUCAGCGUCUUGGCUACCGUGACCAAAACCUGUACGCCUUCUCCAACAACAUGACAUCAUACCGCCGCCCCGUCUUUGCUGCUCUAGGACCCAUGCUUCGCCCCCCUGUGUAUGGUCUGAAUCACCAGCACAAUCGCCAUGGAAACAUGCCUUUUGAAGAUUACUAUUAAUGCAAGAAGAGUUUCAAUUUACAGUGUCUUUUUUAUUACUUCUCAGUGUGUAACAUAGAGCAAUAGAUUGGUGCAUUAUAUCCAUAAAAAAACUGAGAUUGCAGCUGAUCCUUACAGGAAUAUACUGGAUGGGAAAACUAGCCCACCCCAGUCUGGCUGCUGUGGCAACUGAUGUUUAUAAUGAUAUAGAAUAUCACCUUUCGCGGUUUCGAUCCAUCGUACGGCAUGCCCGUUGGUGUCAUUGCACAUUAAAGAGAAUAGAAAGACUU
rnacentral:misc_RNA from 1 species